AUUAAACAUAUAAAAAUACAAAAAUACAAAAAUCAUCAAAUUUACAUAUAUUUGAUUAGUUGAACUAAAAUGAUAAAAAAUAAAUAAUUAUAAUCUCUGUAAAAACAUUCUAUUGGCUUUUAUUCUCUUCUUUUCUUUUUUUUUUUAAUUAUAAUUUCAGUGGCUUUUCUUGAUUAAUGAUUGAAAACAAAAAUUCAAAUUCCCGCCCUCCAAUAUUAAAUAAGAUGGUAAUUAUUAUAUGUUUUUCUUCAAGUAAUAAUCUAAUAAUGAUUUGAAAUGAAUUUUAUAAUUUUGAGGGGACUUGGAAACUACCCUGGUCACUGGCUGCACACCACCCUCUUGCCCAGCCGACUGCACAGUCGCCGGAGUUUCCACCGGAAUCUUGGAAUCCGAGCCGCCGGUCAUGUAUUACAUAAUCUAAAAUCACACACAGGCACGUUGCCCAACACAUCGUAUAUAGGGGGAGGGGGGAAGGUAAGAGCGUUCAUGGAAAGAACUUCAGCAGCUUGUGCGAUGGAAUGGAGCAUUGAACUGGAAAAGGGUCUCCGUUCCAAGUUACCAGGACGACCUUUGGAAGCUAUCUCACGUUUGGGUCCAGACUCCAGCUCUGGAGCCAAGACCCAGAGCCUACUUUGGCUGUAUACCACAUGUUCGAUCUUAGUCCUGGGGAGGACAGGCUCUUUGCCAACGCCAUCCUCUUGCGCCUCGCUGAGGCUUUUCGGGUGGGCGAUGAAAAAACCCGGGUUUGUGUUGUCAAGGUGUUUCUAUCAGAGUACAAGCAUCGCAAACAGAAAGGGAAAGGGUAUAAAGGGUUGUUGUCCAAGUCCAGAGCGCACAGCCAAUUGGAGUUGCUGAAUAGAGUGAAGGCUUUGUUUGAUAAUGGAGAUGUUAAUUCCAGGACUUUGGCUUUAGCUCACUUUGGUUGUUGGGCUGACUUUGCCAACGACAAAGCUGAUUGAUAGACGUUACUUGGUUCUUUCCAGUCUUGUCCCUCCUCAUGUUUUGGAGGUGAGGUAAACAUCUUUAUUUGCUGCAGGAUGCUUUUGCAAGCUAUCAGAUGACUUUUCUUGUAUUCUCUUGGAAAUGCUGCCUAACGUGAUGGCUUUAUCUGAGCUGCAGCUCGAGUCUUUGCAAAAAUGGAUGCCACGUAUUCAAUUACCAAUAAAGCUUACAAGACAGGUCUACAGUUGUUUUUAGACACUUCAGAAGAGGAUUUUCAGGUUGCAAUGCUGGUCUCCUUUCAAAGCAUGCUUCCAUGUCCAUGAUGCUAAUCUCUAAGCAGGUUGAAUUUCUUUUCUCAUUCCUUAACCAAGAAAAGUCUUUGCGUGUACGAGCAACAGCACUAAGAUGCCUUCUUUUCAUUAUCAGUAAACGAGCGUGUCAAUUUCCUGUUAAUGCAUAUAUGGUUAAAGCAUUGUCUA